rnacentral:rRNA from 1 species
UACGAAGGGGGCUAGCGUUGUUCGGAUUUACUGGGCGUAAAGCGCACGUAGGCGGCCAACUAAGUCAGACGUGAAAUCCCUCGGCUUAACCGGGGAACUGCGUCUGAUACUGGAUGGCUUGAGUUCGGGAGAGGGAUGCGGAAUUCCAGGUGUAGCGGUGAAAUGCGUAGAUAUCUGGAGGAACACCGGUGGCGAAGGCGGCAUCCUGGACCGAUACUGACGCUGAGGAGCGAAAGCCAGGGGAGCAAACGGG